GCACGUAAUAAGAAGAGAUGAAGGAGAGCUGGUCAGAGACAUUAUGGAAUGAAGAGAUCAGAAGACGAUGUGGAGUGGUAGACAUUGCAGAGAAGGUGAGGGAAGCAAGGUUGAGAUGGUAUGGACAUGUAAUAAGAAGAGAUGAAGGAGAGCUGGUUGGAAACAUUAUGGAAUGAAGAGAACAGAAGAUGUGGAGUGGUAGACAUUGCAGAGAAGGUGAGGGAAGAAAGGCUGAGAUGGUAUGGAUAUAUAAUAAGAAGAG